rnacentral:rRNA from 1 species
UACAGAGGUCUCAAGCGUUGUUCGGAUUCAUUGGGCGUAAAGGGUGCGUAGGCGGCGCGGUAAGUCGGGUGUGAAAUCUCGGAGCUUAACUCCGAAAUUGCAUUCGAUACUGCGGUGCUUGAGGACUGGAGAGGAGACUGGAAUUCACGGUGUAGCAGUGAAAUGCGUAGAUAUGUGGAGGAACACCGAUGGCGAAGGCAGCCCCCUGGGUUAACACUGACGCUCAUGCACGAAAGCGUGGGGAGCAAACAGG